AGAAGCUUGCUUCUCUUGAGAGCGGCGGACGGGUGAGUAAUGCCUAGGAAUCUGCCUAGUGGUGGGGGAUAACGUUCGGAAACGGACGCUAAUACCGCAUACGUCCUACGGGAGAAAGCGGGGGACCUUCGGGCCUCGCGCCAUUAGAUGAGCCUAGGUCGGAUUAGCUAGUUGGUGAGGUAAUGGCUCACCAAGGCGACGAUCCGUAACUGGUCUGAGAGGAUGAUCAGUCACACUGGAACUGAGACACGGUCCAGACUCCUACGGGAGGCAGCAGUGGGGAAUAUUGGACAAUGGGCGAAAGCCUGAUCCAGCCAUGCCGCGUGUGUGAAGAAGGUCUUCGGAUUGUAAAGCACUUUAAGUUGGGAGGAAGGGUAGUAACUUAAUACGUUACUACUUUGACGUUACCGACAGAAUAAGCACCGGCUAACUUCGUGCCAGCAGCCGCGGUAAUACGAAGGGUGCAAGCGUUAAUCGGAAUUACUGGGCGUAAAGCGCGCGUAGGUGGUUCAGUAAGUUGGAAGUGAAAUCCCCGGGCUCAACCUGGGAACUGCUUUCAAAACUGCUGAGCUAGAGUACGGUAGAGGGUGGUGGAAUUUCCUGUGUAGCGGUGAAAUGCGUAGAUAUAGGAAGGAACACCAGUGGCGAAGGCGACCACCUGGACUGAUACUGACACUGAGGUGCGAAAGCGUGGGGAGCAAACAGGAUUAGAUACCCUGGUAGUCCACGCCGUAAACGAUGUCAACUAGCCGUUGGGAGUCUUGAACUCUUAGUGGCGCAGCUAACGCAUUAAGUUGACCGCCUGGGGAGUACGGCCGCA
rnacentral:rRNA from 1 species